UCCCUGGCAGUCCAGUGGUUAGGACCAGGCUUUCACUGCCAAGGGCCUGGGUUCAAUCCCUGGUCAGGGAA
rnacentral:tRNA from 1 species